rnacentral:rRNA from 1 species
GACGAACGCUGGCGGCGUGCUUAACACAUGCAAGUCGAACGGAAAGGCCCUGCUUUUGUGGGGUGCUCGAGUGGCGAACGGGUGAGUAACACGUGAGUAACCUGCCCUUGACUUUGGGAUAACUUCAGGAAACUGGGGCUAAUACCGGAUAGGAGCUCCUGCUGCAUGGUGGGGGUUGGAAAGUUUCGGCGGUUGGGGAUGGACUCGCGGCUUAUCAGCUUGUUGGUGGGGUAGUGGCUUACCAAGGCUUUGACGGGUAGCCGGCCUGAGAGGGUGACCGGCCUCAUUGGGACUGAGAGACGGCCCAGACUCCUACGGGAGGCAGCAGUGGGGAAUAUUGCACAAUGGGCGGAAGCCUGAUGCAGCAACGCCGCGUGCGGGAUGACGGCCUUCGGGUUGUAAACCGCUUUCGCCUGUGACGAAGCGUGAGUGACGGUAAUGGGUAAAGAAGCACCGGCUAACUACGUG